rnacentral:rRNA from 1 species
AUACGUAGGUGGCGAGCGUUGUCCGGAAUUAUUGGGCGUAAAGAGCAUGUAGGCGGCUUAAUAAGUCGAGCGUGAAAAUGCGGGGCUCAACCCCGUAUGGCGCUGGAAACUGUUAGGCUUGAGUGCAGGAGAGGAAAGGGGAAUUCCCAGUGUAGCGGUGAAAUGCGUAGAUAUUGGGAGGAACACCAGUGGCGAAGGCGCCUUUCUGGACUGUGUCUGACGCUGAGAUGCGAAAGCCAGGGUAGCGAACGGGAUUAGAUACCCCGGUAGUCCUGGCCGUAAACGAUGGGUACUAGGUGUAGGAGGUAUCGACCCCUUCUGUGCCGGAGUUAACGCAAUAAGUACCCCACCUGGGGAGUACGAUCGCAAGGUUGAAACUUAAAUGAAUUGGCGGGG